rfam:Oryza sativa (indica cultivar-group) chromosome 10, whole genome shotgun sequence.
CCCAAAAUAAGUUUUGCACUAUUCAUCUCUAACGUUUGACUGUUCGUCUUAUUUGAAAAUUUUUUAUGAUUAUUAUUUUUAUUGUUAUUAGAUGAUAAAACAUGAAUAAUACUUUAUGUGUGACUAAUUUUUUUAAAAAAAAAAUUAUAAUUUUUUCAAAUAAGAUGGACGGUCAAACAUUGGACACGGAUUUUCACAGCUGCAUUUACU